GUUUUGAAGAAAUUCCUUAGGGAGAGGGAAGCAAUCAAUAAAGAAAUUAAGAUUAUGUGAGAGCCUAAGGCAAUUCCUUAUCCCCUCUGAAUUUCAGUUCCCUUAACUGCAAAGCUUCAGUGAGAAAAGUCUUUAUACCAUCAGCUCAACAACAGUAAUGCUGGGCACUUACUAUGGGUCAGGGAUUACUAACUGCUGUCUUACAUAAAUACCUCAUUUAAUCAUCACAACAACUCUGCAAAAUAGAUACUAUUGUUAUUCCCGUAUUAUAGCUAAAGGUUACAGAGGUAAAAUAAAUUUCCCAGUGUCAUACAUCGUUAAAAGAUAGAGGGAAAUUGUAGAGGGGUCUGAUGCCGAAAUCCACAUUCCCAGUUACUGCGAUGUUCUGUCUGCCUCCAUAGUGGCUUCUCCAUAAAAGGAAGCCACACUGUCAUGGCCACCUUCACCCAAAGGUAUCUGGCAACCUGAGUGAUGAUGGCAUGGCUGUAUGAUGGGGGCUUUGCCUGUAUCUCUGAACCAAUCAAGGUAGGAUGGUGACGUUUCUAAUAACUAACCAGUGAUGUGUCCCUGGUUGUUUGGGUCGUUCAUGUGGUUUGAAUGCCUAGGUAAUGGCAAAAAUGGCUCUUGAUAAAUGGGGAGAAGUUUCCCAAAUUAAGGAGCAUUCUAGGAAGGGAUGCUUCCGCCUUCAGAAGGGAGAAAAAGAAAGACAUUAAUGUUUGUGAGGUGCCAGCUCUUUAUUGGCCAAGUACUUUGCCAUUUGAUUUGCGUAGUUCUCUCAAUUAAACCUUACAUAGCCCAUGAAGGUAGUUUUGUUUCAUCGAUAAGUUCACUUAAACCUAGAGAAGUGAAGUGUCAUACCCGAGGUCACGCAACAAAGUGAAUAGUAGGGGGAAGAUUUAAACUUGUCUGUCGGUCCCCAAUGGCCACAGUCUUCCCAUAUCACACUACCUUCCUGACUUGUUUAUGUGUAUAUUUUAACCUCUCUCAGCCAUAUAGAGACCAGCACAUGCUCCCCAUGACACCCCCCACUCCCCACCACCCCCCACACCCUGCCUGUCAGCUCCCCCAGACUGUGUCCUCAUCGUCUUUCACAUCAAGUGGGAGCUGUGAUGAGUCCUGUGCUUCUCCAUCAUCAUUAGAUUGCUUCUUAGAAAUUGGCAAGGCUAGAGAGACAGUGUGUGCUGCUGGGGGUUCUGGAUCACUGCACUAAAGCACUGCAUCAUUCAUUCAUCUAUGCUAUUGUGUAGGCUAGUUGUGCUUCAGGAGAAAGCGGUGACUCCUUGGCAUAAAAUCCAGAGGAGCUUGCAGAGUGUCCUCCACUGGGCAUUUAAAUCUCAAGACAGGCGUCAAUGUUGCCCUUUGAACAGGUGCUGCCGCUGAGGAAUGGGGGAAUGGCCAGAAGAUGUGGAAUUCACCCAGAUGCCUGUGGGUGUCCCCAGGAGGCAAAUAGGAGCUUCUCCAUCAGAAUCCAGGGCUCACUAUCAGGCCCACUCACUGGCCUCAAAUCAUCAGAGGGAGAAAGAAAGACGUGGCUUGUAAUUUGCACUGAGGUAUAUGGAGCUUGGUGCGCUGCUGUCAUUCAUUUAUUCAUUUAAUUAUUCAUUCAUUUCUUUCACAGGCCUUGCAAUUCUAUUGUGUGUUAGAUGCUGAGCUGAACCAGGGAACCAGACACAAACCCAGGGCUUGUAUAUGGAGUGAUCCAUUGAGUGACAAUGCUUCACUACCUUUUUAUCUGUUGUGACUCAUGGCAUGUGCAGUCUUAGGCAAGCAGUGAUGGUUAUUGCUCCCCUUUGUUGAAUGGUUCGUUACUCUAGUGCAUUAGAAGACUCUGGGCAAGGAGGAAUAACAGAUCAGGACCCGUGGUCCACCUGUUACCAGGCAACGUCUUUCGUACACCUCACAUUGAAGGGUCCCACCUUGAGUCACUGUGUCACUCAAAGCCAUUUGGCUGUCUUUUCUGCUAUAGCCAAUUUGAGCCCCUUACCAUGUCUAUCCUCUGGAGCAGGACUCGGAGCUCCCCUUCACAGAAGCUCAGGCACUGUUCCGACACAGUCUGCUAUUCACAGCCUCAUUCGUCCAUGCAGCGGGACAGAAAUCAGACGUGUCUGAGGAUGCAUUCUGGGCCUGCCACGUGUUAGCAGGUGAUGAAGGACAGUCCAUUAGUGCCAGAGCUUUGAUGACGUCCUCCGUAAGAGGGGAUCGCUUGCUCUGCCUCAGAGGUCAGCUGGGAGCCUUCAGUGAGAUGAAGGAGAUGCUCCAGCAAUUACUGUUUCACAUCAGUUCUUUUGCUACCCAGGAAAGCACGUUUGGAAAUAUUUGACUCAUGGAAUAAAAACCCUCCUGCACUGGGCCUGGUUUAUUCUCUACCCCCACGAGUAGAGAGUGCAUAGCUCUUCCUAUCCCAGCGUUUGGUGUUGACUAACUCUGGUUAACUCUGUCCGCCAGACUGGGACACCAGACCUGAGAGUCAACGUGAAUUUGUUCUCGUAUCUGUAGCUCGGUUCAGGCCUGCCAUGUGGUAGGUAAUUCAUACAUGCUUGUUAAAUUAAAGGAUGUCUCAGUGUCGGAACCCCACUGCGAAAUGCCAGGCACCUCCAUGACUUUAUCUCUAUGAUGAUAUUUGAAUCUCGUCACCCUCAGAUUAGAUAGUACCUCCUGAGACGCUUUCAUUUCCAGAGCUGUUAUCUUUUUAAGAAAAUAAUAAUUUAGAAAGACUCUGUAUUAAGAAUGCCAUUUCAAACUGCUUGACUGUCUUGGAGUGUAGCCAUUUGAUUAUACAGCUAAGACUGAUAUUAUGAAAUCCUGCAGCUUUCUGGGAAAACCCAGAAGGCUCAUACUUGAUUAUAAAAUCAAGUUUGCCACAAUUGGAACAGUGCUUGUGUCAGCAGAGUUUCUUUAAUGAGAAGGUGAUUUGAACCGAAAUGUCCGCAUUAUUUUGUUUACUCGAGGUCUAAGUAUGUAACUCGCUUCAUGCUUCAUUCAGUCACAUUAAACCCUUCCUGUAAACCAUCUUAUUCAAACACAGAAUUUUUUAAAUUUAGUGAAUUCCAAGUGCCUGGAAAUACACAUUUUUUAAUUUAUUCUUAGUUUAGGGAUUAAAAAAACUGAGGCUGAGAUGAAAAUGAGUACAGGUUAAAGAAAGGCCCCAGGAGUUCCCAUCCUGGCGCAGUGGUUAACGAAUCCGACUAGGAACCAUGAGGUUGCCGGUUCGAUCCCUGGCCUCGCUCAGUGGGUCGAGGAUCCGGUGUUGCCGUGAGCUGUGGUGUGGGUUGCAGACACACCUUGGAUCCCGUGUUGCUGUGGCUGUGGUGUAGGCCAGCGGCUACAGCUCCGAUUCAUCCCCUAGCCUGGGAACCUCCAUGUGCCAAGAAAAAG
rnacentral:lncRNA from 1 species